GUGUCAGCAGCCGCGGUAAUACGUAGGGUGCGAGCGUUGUCCGGAUUUAUUGGGCGUAAAGGGCUCGUAGGCGGCCUGUCGCGUCGGAAGUGAAAGCCCACUGCUUAACGGUGGGUCUGCUUCCGGUACGGGCAGGCUGGAGUAUGGCAGGGGAGACUGGAAUUCCUGGUGUAGCGGUGGAAUGCGCAGAUAUCAGGAGGAACACCGGUGGCGAAGGCGGGUCUCUGGGCCAUUACUGACGCUGAGGAGCGAAAGCGUGGGGAGCGAACAGGAUUAGAAACCCCCGUAGUCC
rnacentral:rRNA from 1 species